CCUACGGGAGGCAGCAGUGGGGAAUAUUGGGCAAUGGGCGCAAGCCUGACCCAGCAACGCCGCGUGAAGGAAGAAGGCUUUCGGGUUGUAAACUUCUUUUAAGAGGGAAGAGCAGAAGACGGUACCUCUUGAAUAAGCCACGGCUAACUACGUGCCAGCAGCCGCGGUAAUACGUAGGUGGCAAGCGUUGUCCGGAUUUACUGGGUGUAAAGGGCGUGUAGCCGGGCUGACAAGUCAGAUGUGAAAUCCCGUGGCUCAACCACGGAACUGCAUUUGAAACUGUAGAGCUUGAGUGCGGGAGGGGCAGGCGGAAUUCCUAGUGUAGCGGUGAAAUGCGUAGAUAUUAGGAGGAACACCGGCGGCGAAGGCGGCCUGCUGGACCGUAACUGACGUUGAGGCUCGAAAGCGUGGGGAGCAAACAGGAUUAGAUACCCGUGUAGUC
rnacentral:rRNA from 1 species